rnacentral:rRNA from 1 species
CGGCUCCCAAGGCGACGACGGGUAGCCGGCCUGAGAGGGCGACCGGCCACACUGGGACUGAGACACGGCCCAGACUCCUACGGGAGGCAGCAGUGGGGAAUAUUGCACAAUGGGCGAAAGCCUGAUGCAGCGACGCCGCGUGAGGGAUGACGGCCUUCGGGUUGUAAACCUCUUUCAGCAGGGAAGAAGCGAAAGUGACGGUACCUGCAGAAGAAGCGCCGGCUAACUACGUGCCAGCAGCCGCGGCCGA